rnacentral:rRNA from 1 species
GACAGAGGUGGCAAGCGUUGUUCGGAAUUACUGGGCUUAAAGGGCGCGUAGGCGGUGAGAUAAGUCUGAGGUGAAAUCCUAUGGCUUAACCAUAGAACUGCCUUGGAAACUGUUUUACUUGAGUCAGCGAGGGGAUGGUGGAAUUCCCGGUGUAGCAGUGAAAUGCGUAGAUAUCGGGAGGAAGGCCGGUGGCGAAGGCGGCCAUCUGGCGCUGAACUGACGCUGAGGCGCGAAAGCGUGGGUAGCAAACAGG